rnacentral:rRNA from 1 species
UACGUAGGGGGCAAGCGUUAUCCGGAAUUACUGGGUGUAAAGGGUACGUAGGCGGUUCAUUAAGUCAGAUGUGAAAGCCCGAGGCUCAACCUCGGGACUGCAUUUGAAACUGGUGAACUAGAGUACAGGAGAGGUAAGUGGAAUUCCUAGUGUAGCGGUGAAAUGCGUAGAUAUUAGGAAGAACACCAGUGGCGAAGGCGGCUUACUGGACUGUAACUGACGCUGAGGUACGAAAGCGUGGGGAGCGAACAGG